AAGGGAGACCUAAUUCGGGUAGAAGACGAAAAAAUAGUAGUCGAAACCAAGAAUCAAUCCCAAAAGGUCGGAACGAGGUAUGCGGCUUUCAAACUAGGUUCUGGGUUCACAAAAGACCUGAAUCAGGAACAAGGGCUAUUAGCUCAGGUGGUUAGAGCGCACCCCUGAUAAGGGUGAGGUCCCUGGUUCGAGUCCAGGAUGGCCCACCUGCACAGGUGGCAAAAACAAGAGAAACGAGGAAUCAGCACCUUAUCUUACUUACAUAGUAAGAGAGAAUACUGGCUCUGAGUAAAGAGUCCAGAGGAACCUUGAAAACUGCAUAGAGCUAGGUGAAAAAGCCAAAAAAGAAGACCGCAA
rnacentral:tRNA from 1 species